UGCUCGUUCCGAGGCCGGAUAGAGUUCCUGGAGCUUGGAGGAACAUUUACAGACAGUGGGAGCUCGGUCUCAAAGGAAUGAAAAUCAGCUGCGCAGUGAUCAAGAUGUUCUCAAAGUGUGUUGCGCGGAUUCGUCGUGCUCCACAGCCAUGAUCGUCGAGUACGUCGCGCAUGGCGUCAACGAGCCGCGAUUUUCAAGCGAUUGCUCGGCGAAAAUCGGUGCAAAGAAGGAGACUAGCUUUUGCUGCUGCGACCAAUGCUUGCACAGCCAUGGGAGAUUUCUCGCAAGGAAGAAAGAUCUGGAGAACUGGAGACCGAGCUCCCACUGUCUGUAAAUGUUCCCCCGAGUUCCAGGAACUCUAUCCAGCCUCGGACGCGAUGUAUGGGAAAUGUGGAGAUCUGGUCACCCUUAAAACAAAUUAAGGAAUAUUAACCAUUUAAAACUAGCGCUCGGCACCUUUGGUAUCCAGCCCCUUUUCGACUACAUAUUCGGCCGCUGCCUAUACUCGCAGGGAAAAGAGAAAUGAGAAAACCAAAGAGAUCCAUGUACCUUGCGCUGCUUGCUUGACAAAAUUCUGAGCUCGUAUGCAGAUAAAAGCUCGCUCAAAGGUUGAGAGAGUGAUACACGAAAAAAACAGUUUAGAUCAAUAAACAUAGAUGGUGGGGAAUCUUUUUCUUACUUUAGAUGCGACUUGCAGUAAGAGCCUCCAUUUCACUCCAAGAACCCUAAAACAGAACUAGAUUAACUCUCGCGCCAUUACGGCAACUAAAUGUGGGGAUGGAC
rnacentral:lncRNA from 1 species